rnacentral:rRNA from 1 species
UACAGAGGUCCCAAGCGUUGUUCGGAUUCACUGGGCGUAAAGGGUGCGUAGGUGGUGAGGUAAGUCGGAUGUGAAAGCUCGGAGCUCAACUCCGAAAUGGCAUUGGAAACUACCUUGCUCGAGGGUUGGAGGGGGGACUGGAAUACUUGGUGUAGCAGUGAAAUGCGUAGAUAUCAAGUGGAACACCAGUGGCGAAGGCGAGUCCCUGGACAACUCCUGACACUGAGGCACGAAAGCUAGGGGAGAAAACAGG